GAGACAAUGACACUCUAAUCUGAUAGGUCUGGGAGGCAAUGACACUCUACUCUGAUAGAUCUGGGAGACAAUGACACUCUACUCUGAAAGGUCUGGGAGACAAUGACACUCUAAUCUGAUAGAUCUGGGAGACAAUGACACUCUAAUCUGAUAGAUCUGGGAGACAAUGACUCUCUACUCUGAUAGGUCUGGGAGACAAUGACACUACUCUGAUAGGUCUGGGAGAGAAUGACACUCUACUCUGAUAGGUCUGGGAGACAAUGAC
ensembl:lncRNA